rnacentral:rRNA from 1 species
UACGAAGGGGGCUAGCGUUGUUCGGAAUUACUGGGCGUAAAGCGCACGUAGGCGGUGUUCCAUGUCAGAGGUGAAAGCCUGGGGCUCAACUCCAGAAUUGCCUUUGAAACGGGGACGCUUGAGUCCGGGAGAGGAUGGCGGAAUUCCUAGUGUAGAGGUGAAAUUCGUAGAUAUUAGGAAGAACACCGGUGGCGAAGGCGGCCAUCUGGCUCGGUACUGACGCUCAGGUUCGAAAGCGUGGGGAGCAAACAGG